GAGUUUGAUCCUGGCUCAGAACGUACGCUGGCGGCACGCCUAACACAUGCAAGUCGAACGAAGUAGCAAUACUUAGUGGCAGACGGGUGAGUAACAUGUAGGUAUCUGCCCUUUGGCCUGGAAUAACACGAGGAAACUUGUGCUAAUACCGGAUAAGUCUUUACGGAGAAAGCUUUAUGCACCAUUGGAUGAGCCUGCACUUGAUUAGUUUGUUGGUGGGGUAAUGGCCUACCAAGACUGUGAUCAAUAGCUGAUUUGAGAGGAUGAUCAGCCACAUUGGGACUGAGACACGGCCCAAACUCCUACGGGAGGCAGCAGUGGGGAAUCUUGCACAAUGGAGGAAACUCUGAUGCAGCGAUGCCGCGUGAGUGAAGAAGGCCUUUGGGUUGUAAAGCUCUUUCGUCGGGGAAGAAAAUGACUGUACCCGAAUAAGAAGGUCCGGCUAACUUCGUGCCAGCAGCCGCGGUAAUACGAAGGGACCUAGCGUAGUUCGGAAUUACUGGGCUUAAAGAGUUCGUAGGUGGUUGAAAAAGUUGGUGGUGAAAUCCCAGAGCUUAACUCUGGAUCUGCCAUCAAAACUUUUCAGCUAGAGUAUGAUAGAGGAAAGCAGAAUUUCUAGUGUAGAGGUGAAAUUCGUAGAUAUUAGAAAGAAUACCAAUUGCGAAGGCAGCUUUCUGGAUCAUUACUGACACUGAGGAACGAAAGCAUGGGUAGCGAAGAAGAAUAGAUACCCCUCGUAGUCCAUGCGGUAAACAAUGUGUGUUAGACGUUGGAAAUUUUAUUUUCAGUGUCGCAGCGAAAGCGAUAAACACACCGCCUGGGGAGUACGACCGCAAGGUUAAAACUCAAAUGAAUUGACGGGGACCCGCACAAGUAGUGGAGCAUGUGGUUUAAUUCGAAGAUACGCGCAGAACCUUACCAACACUUGACAUGUUCGUCGCGACUUUAAGAGAUUAAAGUNUUCGGUUCGGCCGGACGAAACACAGGUGCUGUAUGGCUGUCGUCAGCUCGUGUCGUGAGAUGUUGGGUUAAGUCCCGCAACGAGCGCAACCCUCACUUUUAGUUGCCAUCAUUAAGUUGGGCACUCUGAAAGAACUGCCAGUGAUAAGCUGGAGGAAGGUGGGGAUGACGUCAAGUCCUCAUGGCCCUUAUGGGUAGGGCUUCACACGUCAUACAAUGGUCGGAACAGAGGGUUGCCAACCCGCGAGGGGGAGCUAAUCCCAGAAAACCGAUCGUAGUCCGGAUUGCACUCUGCAACUCGAGUGCAUGAAGCUGGAAUCGCUAGUAAUCGCGGAUCAGCAUGCCGCGGUGAAUACGUUCCCGGGUCUUGUACACACCGCCCGUCACACCAUGGGAGUGGGUUUUACCAGAAGUGGCUAGUCUAACCGCAAGGAGGACGGUCACCACGGUAGGAUUCAUGACUGGGGGUGAAGUCGUAACAAGGUAUCC
rnacentral:rRNA from 1 species